ensembl:lncRNA
GGGCCUUGCUCGUGCUCUCGCGAGAUGAGCUGUAAUCUCGGCGGGGCUCGGGAGAGGGGCCUGGCAGGAGCGUUCGGAACCCCGGGAAGCAGAAAGGAGUGCUCCGCGUUUCCCGCGCGGGUUCUCCCGCCUCGGCUCUGAGCGGACUGGAGGGGUCAGUUGGACCACCUGCCUGCGUCGUCACGGAGGGCCCCCUGGAAAAGGCGGAGGGGCGGGGAGCUGUUGCUGCUGUGGAAAGAAUGGAUUAGGGAAAGACCAGCAUAGAAGCAGGAGACCAGUUGGGAGGCUGAUGCAGUGGUCCAGGCUUUGUGUAAGGUGCUGUGGUUACCAAGGUGAAUACCCCUAUCUGGUAGGGAAGGUGGAUGUGAACAUACGCAAAGACCGUGUGCGGCGGGGUCAGCGCUGUGACAGAGGCUGUUUUUUGGUGAGGAAGAUUGGCCCUAAGCUAACAUCUUUUCCAAUCUUCCUGUUUUUAUUUUCUCCCCAAAGCCCCAGUACAUGGUUCUAUAACCUAGUUGUAAGUCCUUCUAGUUCUUCUAUGUAGGGGGCUGCCACAGCAUGGCUUGAUGAGUGGUGUGUAGGUCCACACCCAGGAUCCCAACCAGUGAACCCCAGGCCACCAAAGCAGAGCAUGCAAACUUAACCACUAUGCCACUGGGCUGGCCCCUGUUCUUUAUUAUUUUAAUCAAAUUUAGAAGGAAAAUUUAGCCAAGCCCAAAUGGAAAAAUGGUUUGUUAAAAAAGAAAAGCCACAAAAUAAAUACCAGAGACUAAAUUUCAGGGCCUUUAAAAGUACAAGUGCUUAAGCUGCCGCCUGAAGAUUCUCAUUCAGAGGGUCCCAGGUAUUUCUAUUUUUUCAGACCUCCACAAAUAAUUUUGAUGUUCAGCAGGGUGAGACCCACUGAGAUAGACAUUCAUCAUUAUCCUGUCAAAUGAUCUAAUAAACACUCUGUCUGAUCAGAAAUAGCAGUACAAAGAAAACUUCCAUAAUUAGAAUUUUUUUACCCUAAUAAAAUAUGUUCCUACUUGUGGGUUUUUCCAUUUCCAUUUAUUUAGCUGUACUCUGACAAAUUUGUAGCCUUUGUACGUAAUCCAGAACACAGAAAGGACAGCUUUUGAUAAAUACGUGUGGUUCUGUACAAUGUAAGGAAAAAAUAUGGCAUAGGAGUGAUAGCCAGGGGUUAGCAGGAAGAGGAAUAAAAGCAGAAAAAAAUGUCAUCUGCAUGUCACUCAAAAAGUAUUGAUGGAAUUAUAAGGAUGAUCUCCCACUGUGACCAGCUGUGGCCCUUUCCUAAGGAAUAGAAGUCUCAAAUAGUCUCAUGAGAUUAAUAUGCAUAUUUUUCUUUCUUUUAUAAUGCUGGCAUUGAGUCAUAGGGAGUUAUUGUUAAAGACUAAAGAGUAGAAAGAAAAAGCCAAAUAGAGCCUUGUCCUACCCAGCUUAGCUUCCAAAGAAUAUAAUGAAAAAGAUGGUCGAUUCUUUGAAAAAGUAUUGGCGUUAACUAGUUUUCAUGAUGACUAUGUUUCGAGACCAUCAUUUCCCAAAGUGUGCUCUUUAUAAAAAAUAGUUCCUCAGAAGGCUAGAGGUAUUACUUGAAGGGGUUCCUUGAUGAAGUACAUUUGUAUUGCAGGAUUUAACCGAGGUAGAGAGGUUUCUUUGAAGGACUUCUCAGGGCCUUUGUGAAUUGCCAAGAAAAG